ACUAAAAUAGCUCAAAUUUAGAGUUAUGUAUUGAAGCUACAAAGAUGACUUAGGUCUUUUAGUA
rnacentral:tRNA from 1 species